GACGAACGCUGGCGGCGUGCCUAAUACAUGCAAGUAGAACGCUGAAGGAGGAGCUUGCUUCUCUGGAUGAGUUGCGAACGGGUGAGUAACGCGCAGGUAACCUGCCUGGUAGCGGGGGAUAACUAUUGGAAACGAUAGCUAAUACCGCAUAAUAGUAGAUGUUGCAUGACAUUUGCUUAAAAGGUGCAAUUGCAUCACUACCAGAUGGACCUGCGUUGUAUUAGCUAGUUGGUGGGGUAACGGCUCACCAAGGCGACGAUACAUAGCCGACCUGGGAGGGGGAUCGGCCACACUGGGACUGGGACACGGCCCAGACUCCUACGGGAGGCAGCAGUAGGGAAUCUUCGGCAAUGGACGGAAGUCUGACCGAGCAACGCCGCGUGAGUGAAGAAGGUUUUCGGAUCGUAAAGCUCUGUUGUAAGAGAAGAACGAGUGUGAGAGUGGAAAGUUCACACUGUGACGGUAUCUUACCAGAAAGGGACGGCUAACUACGUG
rnacentral:rRNA from 1 species